ACAAAAUAGAGAUACAGAAGGAAGAAGCUAAAGCAACGUAGACUGGAUAAGAGUUCAAGCCAAUAGUAUAAAGUGGUGUAUGUGCUUACCUGACCAUUUUCCUUCUCUGGGUAAUAAGCUCUAUAGCCCCAUUGCACUGGGUCUUCAGUCCACUUGCAGUUUGGAGCAGAACCAGACCGGUCAGUCACUUGCAGGAAGGGGCGAGGCCCAGACCCUGAAUUCCCAGCCAGUCAGAGAGAACUUCCACAGCAAAUGGCAUAUCCUGCAUGGCCCAUGGACCAUCAGGGAAUGAGCUUCCAAAAUGACUCCAGGCAGGCAAUUAUGGAAUGAAAUCCUCAGUGCUCCUGAACUGAACUAAAAGCUGCCCUGGGGCCCAGCCAAUCUGCCCAUUGUGGACUGCGUCUGGGAACCUUAUUACUCAGAGAAAGGAAAUGCUAAGAUUGGGCUGAGCAUCUAUCCACAUGUCUGUCCCGUACAUCUCUGUUCUCUUGGACCUGCUGGCUCUUGAGAGUGCAGCAAUAGAGCCCUGUCUUCCAUGUCGUCUUGUUGCUGCAGCCAUUUAAAAAUAGCCUGGCCAGUCCCCAGAAGGGAAGGGAAGAUCACAGGCUUUUUCCAGAGAAAUGCCACAUCCCAACGCAUCCGGCUGUGUUUGGUGACGGUUUUAUUUGUCAGGAAACCCUGCCUGUCUUCUGCCUCUUGUGUGAAAGUGAAAGAACCCAUCUGCUUUGGGCAGAGGAGAGACCGUUGCCAUCUUUCAGCCCCAGCCAUACUUGAGAUGGACGUCAUUAAACCCCCCCUCUGCCCAGGUUAGUGAGCCAAGCUUGGCGCUGGGCUCCUGGCCUUCUUUGGUUGAAAUGAUUGAAUGCAGCAUGGAGCUCCUAGAAAAUGCUUUGUUUAGAAAAACAAGCUCUCUGCGAGGCUGGGAACUCCUCCAGCAGCUUGGAAAUUCCCCCUUUCCGAGCUGACUAAGGAGAGGCACUGAGGUGAAAUGACAGGCCAGAAGCCCGCGCGCUGGAGGAGAGGAGCAGUCGCAACAUCCGGUUCCCCCUCCACCACCUCCCUGCUCAGAUCAUGCGCCAGGGCCAGAAAAGUUAUGCAAAGCCGGCCCUGGGUACCAGACUCGCCAUGGGCUAUGAUUUGGAAACAAAAGUGCUGCAGGGCUGUGAGACACCUGGCUGUCUGGGUCCUUCCUCGUGCUCCUGUUUAUCAGGGACAGCCUUUUUGUUCCAUGCCCAUACGGCCCCUAGCAUGGUGAGGCCCUGGUUCAUGCCUGGGGCUCUGAAAACCAAGAACGACUGUUCCUGUCUCCCACCGCAAACAACAGCAAAUCUGCAAACCUGUCCGAAUGCCCCAUCCCAGGGUACGUGCUCCAGCCUGUGCUCUCCAAGGAGCCUGGCUGUGCUCAGCACAAAUUGGGAAGGUGGUGGGGGAAAAAGAGGCUUAAUGACACCUGCAUGUGCUCUUG